GUAGGGGCCAAGCGUUGUCCGGAUUUAUUGGGCGUAAAGAGCUCGUAGGCGGUUUGGAUAGUCGGGUGUGAAAACUCCGAGCUCAACUCGGAGACGCCACCCGAUACUGCCAUGACUAGAGUCCGGUAGGGGAGCAGGGAAUUCCUGGUGUAGCGGUGAAAUGCGCAGAUAUCAGGAGGAACACCGGUGGCGAAGGCGCUGCCCUGGGCCGGUACUGACGCUGAGGAGCGAAAGCGUGGGUAGCAAACAGGAUUAGAUACCCUGGUAGUCCACGCCGUAAACGUUGGGCACUAGGUGUGGGCCCUAACCAACGGGGUCCGUGCCGCAGCUAACGCAUUAAGUGCCCCGCCUGGGGAGUACGGCCGCAAGGCUA
rnacentral:rRNA from 1 species